GAUGAACGCUGGCGGCGUGCCUAAUACAUGCAAGUCGAACGAGUGGCGGACGGGUGAGUAAUGUCUGGGAAACUGCCCGAUGGAGGGGGAUAACUUCUGGAAACGGUAGCUAAUACCGCAUACUAUCGGAUGGGCCCAGAUGGGAUUAGCUUGUAGGUGAGGUAACGGCUCACCUAGGCGACGAGCCCUAGCUGGUCUGAGAGGAUGACCAGCCACACGGGAACUGAGACACGGUCCAGACUCCUACGGGAGGCAGCAGUGGGGAAUAUUGCACAAUGGGCGCAAGCCUAAUGCGGCCAUGCCGCGUGUAUGAAAAAGGCCGUCGGGUUGUAAAGUCCUUUCGGCGGGGAGGCGUUACCCGCAGAAGAAGCACCGGCUAACUCCGUGCCAGCAGCCGCGGUAAUAC
rnacentral:rRNA from 1 species